GAUCUCUUUUGACAGCUGCUCCUAAGGCUGGCAGGAUGGUAGGCAGUGGGGGAAGGGACCAGAUUUAAAGGUCCAGUUGCCCCGCCCCCCUGGCAGACCUGGGCAGAAGGCGCGGGUGAGCAUCCUCUGAGGGCUUGGGUCUUGCGCAUAUAGAAGGCCACCAGGGAGACCAGUGCCGAUCACCAUGCGAUUUCGACGCCUGACCCCUGGUUACUUCCGGGUGCUACAGAUGCAGAUAGCUGGUGAGCUGAAGGCAGAGCCCCGGAGUCCGCUGGCUGGCGUUGUGGCUACAGUGCUAGCUGUCCUCGGGCUGGGUGGCUCCUGCUAUGCGGUCUGGAAGAUGGUGGGGCAGCGGCGGCUGCCACGGAACCCAUAACAAAGAAGACUGACUCUCACCUGGACGCUGGAGGGCUCGACGCUCAGCUGCUUCAGCCUGGCAGAAAGAAGAAUAGGAGUUGGGAGCUGACCAGGUGCGAGCCCUAUCUGCCGAGCACCCAUCCAUCAAUCCUCUCCUCACUCCUUCAUACCUUUUCUUGUGGUCUUUGGAUCGGAAGUGGGUCUUCAGGUUGGCGGAAUCGAUGAAGUACCUCCUGUAGGGAGGGAAGUGAGAAGGAGAGUGAGGAGGUGAUGUCUACCAAGUACACCUAUCUCCCUAGCCCUAGCUUGUCCCUGACACCAGGAUCUGAGCCUGAGGAACUGGAGGCGGGAGGAACCACGGGUCCCAAGAGAGAAGACUCCGCGCCGCCAGGGGCUCGAACUUCACAUUUCCCGGCCGGUACCUCGGACCCUCCUCCGCCCUAGGCCGGGCUCGGCCGGUACUCACGCGCAGGCCAGACAGCGGUGCAGGCCGCCCCCUGGCAGGUCGGGGUCCGGCUCGGCGUCCGGGUCGGGCUGGGGCCGUGCGGGUCCCUGCUGCCGCAGCUCGCGGUGAAUCUCAUCCAGGUCCGGCCGCCGCCGCUUCGCUUUCAUCUGCCGGGCUAGGGAGUGCGCUCGGUGCGCGCCUGUCCGGCGGGAGCGACCCAUGGCCAGAAAAAGCCCGGCAAAGGGGCCGGGAGCAAAGCAAGGAGUACACGUGUGGGCGCUUCCGGGUCGCCCAACGACGUCAGGAGACGCCGGGGAGCGAGGGAGGCUAGGCCUGACCGCUUCCGACAGAUGACGUCACUCCCUCGGCCAGCGGCUCGAGCGCCCCCAGGCGGCCGUCGACGUCAGUGACCGAGCUCAGGACGGGGCCCCAAAAGUAUGCCCACUGAAGGGCAAGGCCACGCAGGCCCUCGCUGGGGAGGCGCGGGUGGUGCGUGCGUCUGGGGGUUUCGGGGCCGUCUUGCUGCCUUGCUCUCCCUGGCCUGGCCCAACAAGUCUCAGUGCCAACCUCUACCCCUGUCAUCCCUUCCUGGUUCCCAGACCUUGGACUCUGUGGUGGGGGUGGGAUGCUUUAUCUCUGGAAAGCACUGAUAAAUGUCUGUGUCGUGAAUAAAUCAAUAUAUGAC